CGGGCGAAACGCCGGGCCGCUGGUUAAGCUGGCAAGGGCGCACGGUGAAUACCUUGGCACUGGGAGCCGAUGAAGGACGGGACGAACACCGAUAUGCUUCGGGGAGCUGUAAGUAGGCGUUGAUCCGGAGAUUUCCGAAUGGGGAAACCCCUUAUCCGUCACAGGAUAAGAUCCGCACCUGAAUAUAUAGGGUGCCGGAAGGCAGACCCGGGGAACUGAAACAUCUCAGUACCCGGAGGAACAGAAAGCAACAGCGAUUUCCUGAGUAGCGGCGAGCGAAACGGAAUCCAGCCCAAACCGAAAGGCUUGCCUUUCGGGGUUGAAGGACACUCCAUACGGAGUUACAAAGAGCGCGCGUAGGUGAAGCGGCCUGGAAAGGCCCGCGGGACAAGGUAACAGCCCUGUAGCCGAAACGCCCGCUCCUCCGGAGUGGAUCCUGAGUACGGCGGGACACGAGAAACCCCGUCGGAAUCCGGGAGGACCAUCUCCCAAGGCUAAAUACGACCCAGUGACCGAUAGUGAACCAGUACCGUGAGGGAAAGGUGAAAAGCACCCCGGGAGGGGAGUGAAAAAGAUCUUGAAACCGUGUGCCUACAAGUAGUUGGAGCCCGUUUAUGGGUGACAGCGUGCCUUUUGUAGAAUGAACCGGCGAGUUACGAUGACGUGCAAGGUUAAGCCGAAAAGGCGGAGCCGCAGCGAAAGCGAGUCUGAACAGGGCGCAUGAGUACGUCGUUGUAGACCCGAAACCGAGUGAUCUACCCAUGUCCAGGGUGAAGUCCAGGUAACACUGGAUGGAGGCCCGAACCCACGUAAGUUGAAAAUUACGGGGAUGAGGUGUGGGUAGGGGUGAAAUGCCAAUCGAACUCGGAGAUAGCUGGUUCUCCCCGAAAUAGCUUUAGGGCUAGCCUCGGGGGAAGAGUGUUGGAGGUAGAGCACUGAUUGGACUAGGGGUCCCUACAGGAUUACCGAAUUCAGUCAAACUCCGAAUGCCAAUCACUUAUCCCCGGGAGUCAGACUGCGAGUGCUAAGAUCCGUAGUCGAAAGGGAAACAGCCCAGACCAUCAGCUAAGGUCCCCAAGUAUACGUUAAGUGGAAAAGGAUGUGGAGUUGCUUAGACAACCAGGAUGUUGGCUUAGAAGCAGCCAUCAUUGAAAGAGUGCGUAAUAGCUCACUGGUCGAGUGACUCUGCGCCGACAAUGUACCGGGGCUAAACGUAUCACCGAAGCUAUGGAUAGACACCUCAGGUGUCUGUGGUAGGGGAGCGUUCCAAGGGCUU
rnacentral:rRNA from 2 species